rnacentral:misc_RNA from 1 species
GGACUUACUCAAGGCUCCUCCCAGGUGGCGGAGGAGAGCCCGGAGCUGCUGAACCCUGAGCCCAGGAGACUGAGCCCAGGUGAGCCCAGGGGGCGACCCCGGAAGGGCUGGGGGAUCUGGGGUUUGUGUGGAGCGCGGGUGGGGCCCAAGGCUUGGCGGUAGGCGACAGGCCACGCGAACCCACGGGCCUCUGCGCCCGCAGAGUUGAGGCUACUGCCCUAUAUGAUCACUCUGGGCGACGCCGUGCACAACUUCGCCGACGGGCUGGCCGUGGGCGCCGCCUUCGCGUCCUCCUGGAAGACCGGGCUGGCCACCUCGCUGGCCGUGUUCUGCCACGAGUUGCCACACGAGCUGGGGGACUUCGCCGCCUUGCUGCACGCGGGGCUGUCCGUGCGCCAAGCACUGCUGCUGAACCUGGCCUCCGCGCUCACGGCCUUCGCUGGUCUCUACGUGGCACUCGCGGUUGGAGUCAGCGAGGAGAGCGAGGCCUGGAUCCUGGCAGUGGCCACCGGCCUGUUCCUCUACGUAGCACUCUGCGACAUGCUCCCGGCGAUGUUGAAAGUACGGGACCCGCGGCCCUGGCUCCUCUUCCUGCUGCACAACGUGGGCCUGCUGGGCGGCUGGACCGUCCUGCUGCUGCUGUCCCUGUACGAGGAUGACAUCACCUUCUGAUACCCUGCCCUAGUCCCCCACCUUUGACUUAAGAUCCCACACCUCACAAACCUACAGCCCAGAAACCAGAAGCCCCUAUAGAGGCCCCAGUCCCAACUCCAGUAAAGACACUCUUGUCCUUGG